GAUAGAUUCGUCGACACAGAGUUUGAUCCUGGCUCAGGCUAAUUCCCAACAAAGAUUUUGAUCCUGGAAAGGCUUGUUCAAAAACAGAGUCGGGCCGGGGACCCUCUCAGUAAACGGUGGAUAAUACCGGAUGUGCCGAAAGGUGAAAGAUUUAUUGCCUGAAGAUGAGCUCGCGUCUGAUUAGCUAGUUGGUGUGGUAAGAGCGCACCAAGGCGACGAUCAGUAGCUGGUCUGAAAGGAUGAUCAGCCACACGGGGACUGAGACACGGCCCAGACUCCUACGGGAGGCAGCAGUGGGAAAUUUUCCGCAAUGGGCAAAAGCCUGACGGAGCAAUACCGUUUGAGGGAGGAAGGCUCUUGGGUUGUAAACCUCUUUUCUCAGGGAAUAAAAAAAUGAAGGUACCUGAGGAAUAACCAUCGGCUAACUCCGUGCCAGCAGCCGCGGUAAUACGGAGGAUGCAAGCGUUAUCCCGCACCAUUGGGCGUAAAGCGUCCGCAGGUGGCACUGUAAUUCUGCUGUUAAAGAGCAAGGCUCAACCUUGUAAAGGCAGUGGAAACUACAAAGCUAGAUUACUCUCGGGGCAGAGGGAAUUCCUGGUUGUAGCGGUGAAAUGCGUAGAGAUCAGGAAAAACACCGGUGGCUAAAACGCUCUGCAAGGCCAUAACUGACCACUGAGGGUCAAAAGCUAGGGGAACGAAUUGGUAUUA
rnacentral:rRNA from 1 species